GCGGCGGGGCUGGGGGAGCAGCCUGACAGUGAGCGAUUUUCUUUCUGUUUUAUUUUAUUUUUAUGCCUUUCAGCUGCAGCUACGGGUUAACUCAUAAUAGACCAGCAGCUAUACAAAUGUCUGCUACUGUAGCAAAUAAAAUCAAUGCAUUUCAUAAGUCAUCUGAAGGAGAGUAUGCUGAGGGUCUUUUCAAGUGGGUAGAACACCAUUUGCAGGGCAUAUAUUCUUUACAGAGAUGUCAGAGAGUCAAUGUUGUAUAUACGAUACAUAUCUAACAUCGAGUGGGUACUUGCUAUAAGAAGAAAGAAGUUGAAACUGAAGUGUAUCCAGAAUUUAAAUUUUUUUCUUGUAGAACUGCAAAGGUCAGAUGCAGAUUAAGUAGGACUGGGAAGAAUAUUUGUUCCUACACAAAUACUCCUAGAUCAGAGAGAAUGCGAUUUUACAAUGUUUAAUAUGGGCACGUGGUUUCAAAUAGAUUUACAGUGUCUCAGCAAGUGACAAGUGCAAGAACCAAAGUAUGAAAGAACAACCUGCUGAGCUGUACCACUGGCAGCAGUACCUGAGGUACAGGAUUACGUGACCGAACAUUGCAAAGGUUAUUCAUAAGUUAGUAUGCGAUGUGAAAGAGCCAGGCAGUAAUGACUUUUGCCCAAGUGCCCUGCCAAACUGCUUAUAUGUCAAGUAAUAUCAGCCUUUUAAUCCAAUAAACAAUUCAAGGCAGUGUUUGAUGAUACUAGCACCUGGGAACUGGACAAUGUAUGGAGUAAAAUAAGGCUGUCAGCGUGAAAGGGCAGUCUUAGAGUCCAGGGCAGAUCAAUGGAAGCAGAAACACCUUUCCAUUUGGUUUAUUACUAAGUGAUCUUUUUUGGAAGCACUAAUUUUGUAAAGCUAUACUUCAGUAAUUGCCUUCUCCCAUGAUCAGCCAAGAUUUGGGGUGUUUUGAGUAACCUGCAAAUUAUCGAGUUUUUUUAGUUAAUUCAGUGACAUUUUGAAUGGGGUUGAUUCAUGUAGUCAUAAAGCAAUGAAACAAGCCCUAUACAAGCAGUGUUUAAAGGUUAUUUUAAUGAGACCUUGGAGUUAACAGUCUAUCUAGCUGCUAAUGACUCCCUGAAGGAUUUAGAGUUAGCUCCUCACCUAGACACUGAUUUUAGUCCUCAGCCCAGAAGAGACGAUCCCCAGAAGCAGCACAGAGUGCCAACGGGGCUCCUCCUGCCGAAGCCAGGGGUGAGCAUCUGCCCUCAUUGUACGAAACUUUCCACAAAGCCAUUGGCAACGAAACCGCAACGCGGUGGCCCUGGGCUCGCGUACCGAAGGCGAAUGCCAACCAGAUGGAGGUUGUUUUCUCUUGUGCUUCUAACAAGAAUCCGGCCUCGAAUCAAGUACAGUCACAGGGUGAUGGACCAUUGCUGAGUUAGAAGAGAAACACUCUUUUCAUAAGCUGUUGACAGCUGGCCAGUACUCUGACUUGUUUUGCAUGUUUAUGUUUGUGCCCUGUCAGCUGCUUUCAUAUGGGAUCACUUGAGGAUCAGGUUGUAACUCUAUCACGCAGCAAAUGUAACUCUUAGUGUGAGUAACUGCUUGGUUGUGCUUUGUUUUUUCCAUGUUAUGCUGAAGAAAUAAAAGACAUCUGGUCUU